rnacentral:lncRNA from 1 species
AGUAAUCAAACACCGACAGGAUAACAUCCUGAUGGAGGAACCACAUAACAUACAUUCACAUACAACGUGUCUCACCGUUUAUGCAAUGAUGACAUGUGCGAAGCACUAAUAUCACAGAUAGAUAUUUAGAAGUGAAGUAAAUAAAAAUGCAUUCGUACACAUUCAUCAUAAAUGUAAAUGCAACAUUCACACACAAGCAUAUAACAAUUUUGAAAAGCUUGUAAUAACGGCUUAAGCCCUCUUACUGGAGUCCCCAGUAGAGUCGCCACCUGUCGACGUCAGGAUUUUUGAGUGUCCCUUUUCGUUACUAGUUCUUUGGUGUUCUCAUGUUAAUAUGAGAUUUGUUUGAAAAAACAAGUGAAAAAGGUCCGACAUGUAUAAUGUCGACGAUUUGACUUUAAGAGUCGCCAGUUGGUGUAUUUAAC